CAGCAUCUGGCGUUGCCAGAAUUUAAGAUGAAAAUACUUGAUGAUACAGCAUUUCCCUUAAGUAUAUGACCAAUAUCAAGCAAUGGGAAUCAUCUCAAACUCAAAGCAGCAGCAAGCUCCGGGAGCGGCGGACACGUCGGCGUCGGGGGCGACGGGCGAGGACGUCGCGACGCUGGGGCCGACGCGGGGACCCCCAUCGCGGAGCUCCAGCUCAGCCCUAAAGCGCUUCAGAAAGUCGUCAACAGCUCCGAG
rnacentral:lncRNA from 1 species